CCUACGGGAGGCAGCAGUAAGGAAUAUUGGACAAUGCUCGCAAGAGUGAUCCAGCCAUGCCGCGUGCAGGAAGAAUGCCCUAUGGGUAGUAAACUGCUUUUGAACUAGAGAAAACCCCAGUACGUGUACUGGGCUGAUAGUAUAGUUAGAAUAAGCAUCGGCUAACUUCGUGCCAGCAGCCGCGGUAAGACGAAGGAUGCAAGCGUUAUCCGGAUUCAUUGGGUUUAAAGGGAGCGUAGGUGGACUGAUAAGUCAGUGGUGAAAUCUCCGAGCUUAACUCGGAAAUUGCCAUUGAUACUGUUGGUCUUGAGUACAGUUGCUGUGGGCGGAAUAUGACAUGUAGUGGUGAAACUACAUAGAGAUGUCAUAGAACACCGAUUGCGAAGGCAGCUCACAAAGCUGUAACUGACACUGAGGCUCGAAAGUGCGGGGAUCAAACAGGAUUAGAUACCCUGGUAGUCCGCACCGUAAACGAUGAUUACUCGCUGCUAGGGGGUCAACCGUUAGUGGCUUAGCGAAAGCGAUAGUAAUCCACCUGGGGAGUACGCGGCAACGGUGAAACGUUAAGGAAUUGACGGCUGAGAGNGCGAGGCGACGACGAGGGAGGUAGG
rnacentral:rRNA from 1 species